UACGUAGGGAGCAAGCGUUAUCCGGAUUUAUUGGGUGUAAAGGGUGCGUAGACGGGAAUGCAAGUUAGUUUUGAAAUCCCUCGGCUCAACUGAGGAAUUGGAACUAAAACUGUGUUUCUUGAGUGCAGGAGAGGAAAGUGGAAUUCCUAGUGUAGCGGUGAAAUGCGUAGAUAUUAGGAGGAACACCAGUGGCGAAGGCGACUUUCUGGACUGUAACUGACGUUGAGGCACGAAAGUGUGGGGAGCAAACAGG
rnacentral:rRNA from 1 species